rnacentral:rRNA from 1 species
UACGGAGGGUGCAAGCGUUAUCCGGAUUCACUGGGUUUAAAGGGUGCGUAGGCGGGCAGGUAAGUCCGUGGUGAAAUCUCUGAGCUUAACUCAGAAACUGCCAUGGAUACUAUUUGUCUUGAAUAUUGUGGAGGUGAGCGGAAUAUGUCAUGUAGCGGUGAAAUGCUUAGAUAUGACAUAGAACACCAAUUGCGAAGGCAGCUCACUACACAGUCAUUGACGCUGAGGCACGAAAGCGUGGGGAGUCAAACAGGA